rnacentral:rRNA from 1 species
AUGCCCGUGUGUGAAGAGGCCUGAGGGUUGUAAGCACUUUCAGUGGGGAGGAGGAUAGCAUGGUUAAGAGCUGAGCUAUUGGACGUUACCUACAGAAGAAGCACCGGCUAACUCCGUGCCAGCAGCCGCGGUAAUACGGAGGGUGCGAGCGUUAAUCGGAAUUACUGGGCGUAAAGGGUGCGUAGGUGGUUAAAUAAGUUAGAUGUAAAAACCCUGGGCUUAACCUAGGACUGAGAUUUAAUACUGUUUAACUAGAGUAUGGGAGAGGGUAGUGGAAUUUCCGGUGUAGCGGUGAAAUGCGUAGAGAUCGGAAGGAACACCAGUGGCGAAGGCGGCUACCUGGCCUAAUACUGACACUGAGGCACGAAAGCGUGGGGAGCAAACAGGAUUAGAUACCCUGGUAGUCCACGCUGUAAACGAUGUCAACUAGCCGUUGG